GGGACUACAGGCGCCCGCCAUCACGCCCGGCUGCUUUUUUUGUUUUAGUAGAGAGGAGGUUUCACCGUGUUAGCCAGGAUGGUCUCAAUCUCCUGACCUCGUGAUCCGCCCGCCUCGGCCUCUCAAAGUGCUGGGAUUACACGCGUGAGCCACCGCGCCUGGCCUGAAGAAAGUUAAGAAGUCAUUAAAGAAGCAACCCAUGGCAAAACUAGUUAUUUUCUUAAAACAGUAGGAAGAAGAAAAGCUUUUUGAAUGAAUCACUUCUCAUCUUCUCCGAAGUUGGAAGCAUCAAGAAUCUAAAUAAGCAUUUAUGAUGGCUGGCAUGAAUAUGUAACUUUCAAUCAUGGUCCCAAUUUAGUCAAUUCUGCUACAGCACAUGCCCAGGAAAGAUGAUGGAUCUUCAUUAAUUUAAAUGAAUCAUAGACAGGUGAAGACAGAACAAGAAAACAAACCAAGAAUUUCCCCUCACCAGCCACCAGCUCUGCCAGCAACUUGAUCUUAGACUUCCCAGCCUCCGUAACGCCUCUGCUUAUAAUCUGUCAUGGAUUGGAAAACUAGAAAAAACAGUUUACAGAGUAUAACAAACUUUGGAGGAGUUAAUCGACUCUAAGUAAAAGAGUAUCUAGCACGGCUGUGGAACAAAGGAGAGACUCACAAACUGUUGAAAGAAUAAAUGAAUGAAUGAAUUCUGUUCAUGAGCUUUAAUAAAACAGCUCUGAGUAGUAACAGUGGAUCAAAUUUAGGCUUCUUGAUGCAGGCAUGGUGUAGAUUACUACUUCUGUAUUGUCCCAGGAGCUCAGCACAUUCCUGCAGAGAUGAUAGGAGCUCAUCUGAUACUUGUCAGCUUUGAAUAAACUCCAGUCCCCAAGAGAGAGAAUGAGAAUCACCGGAAUACGAAACUUCCCUGUUGGACUUCCCAACAUUCUUGAAUGCACCAAGAUAGCCUCUUGCUGUGAGAUUAAUAAAUGAAUAAAUGCCUCCAUAUUUUUCAAAUCUGUGAAGUUAACAACAUGUAGAUUUUUUUGCAUAUUUAAAAACUGCAACUAAAUCUUAAUGCCUCUGAAGCAGAUGGAAGAAAAUAAUAGGCUUCCAUUAACUGUGUCAAAUUGUAUAGGUCUUGGCCAUCACUGGUCCUGUUGUGAUGAAGGUUUUUUGCCCUUGGAUAUAAUUUAAUUUUCAAUUCUUCUAAUUAUGGUACUUCAGAACAUCAAUAUUUGAGAUGAACUUCUCUAGUGUCAAGGACUGAUUUGAGUUGUGUAAACCCUGAAUAUCUGAGACAGGUCUCGAUUAUUUUAGAAAGUUUAUUUUGCCAAGGUUGAGGAUGUGUGCCUGUGACACGGCCUCGGGAGGUCCUGAGGACAUGUGCUCAAGGUGGUCAGAGCACAGCUUUGCUUUAUACAUUUUAGAGAGACAUGAGACAUCAACCGACAUAUGUAAGAUGAACAUUGGUUCCAUCUGGAAAGGCGAGACAACUUCAAACGAGGAGGGGGCUUCCAGGUCAUAGGUAGAUAAGAGACAAAUGGCUGCAUUCUUUUGAGUUUCUGAUUAGCCUUUCCAAAGGAGGCAAUUAGAGUGAGCAAAAUGAACAAAAUCAAUUAUUUUGAUUCUGAACAAAAUGGGAGGCUGGUUUUCCCUAAGCAGUUCCCAGCUUGACUUUUCCCUUUAGCUGAGGGAUUUGGGGGGCCCAAGAUUUAUUUUUCUUUCACCGUUGUAUCAAACUACACAGGCGGCCUUGGAAACCAUCACAGUUGAGAGUAGGUAACGCCCAUUUGUUGCAUAGUUUUGUGCUCCACACUCUUAUCUACAAAAUUAUGAAUUUUUUUACAUAUAUUAAUUUCAGAAAAACUAAAAAUAAAACAAAGUAGUUUCAAACUAGUAUUGUUUUUAUAUCUUAAAAAUAAAGCUUUAUAUACUCUCCUUAC
rnacentral:lncRNA from 1 species